rnacentral:rRNA from 1 species
AUGAACGCUGGCGGCGUGCCUAAUACAUGCAAGUCGAGCGAACAGACGAGGAGCUUGCUCCUCUGACGUUAGCGGCGGACGGGUGAGUAACACGUGGAUAACCUACCUAUAAGACUGGGGUAACUUCGGGAAACCGGAGCUAAUACCGGAUAAUAUAUUGAACCGCAUGGUUCAAUAGUGAAAGACGGUUUUGCUGUCACUUAUAGAUGGAUCCGCGCCGCAUUAGCUAGUUGGUAAGGUAACGGCUUACCAAGGCGACGAUGCGUAGCCGACCUGAGAGGGUGAUCGGCCACACUGGAACUGAGACACGGUCCAGACUCCUACGGGAGGCAGCAGUAGGGAAUCUUCCGCAAUGGGCGAAAGCCUGACGGAGCAACGCCGCGUGAGUGAUGAAGGUCUUCGGAUCGUAAAACUCUGUUAUUAGGGAAGAACAAAUGUGUAAGUAACUAUGCACGUCUUGACGGUACCUAAUCAGAAAGCCACGGCUAACUACGUG